rnacentral:rRNA from 1 species
GAUGAACGCUGGCGGCGUGCCUAAUACAUGCAAGUCGAACGAGGUGCUUUUGUAGCAAUACGAGAGUAUCCUAGUGGCGAACGGGUGAGUAACGCGUUGGUGACCUACCCCAAAGUGUGGGAUAACAGUCCGAAAGGAUUGCUAAUACCGCAUGUGGUUAUUGGAUUUAGAAACCGGUAACUAAAGGAGCAAUUCGCUUUGGGAGGGACCUGCGUCCCAUCAGCUAGUUGGUGAGGUAAUGGCUCACCAAGGCGACGACGGGUAGGGGACCUGAGAGGGUGACCCCCCACAAUGGAACUGAAACACGGUCCAUACACCUACGGGUGGCAGCAGUAGGGAAUAUUGCCCAAUGGGCGAAAGCCUGAAGCAGCAACGCCGCGUGUGUGAUGAAGGCCUUCGGGUCGUAAAGCACUUUUCUGGGAGAUGAGAAAGGACAGUAUCCCAGGAAUAAGUCUCGGCUAACUACGUGCCAGCCGCCGCAGUAAUAC